rnacentral:rRNA from 1 species
UACGAAGGGGGCUAGCGUUGUUCGGAAUUACUGGGCGUAAAGGGCGCGUAGGCGGCGUGUCAAGUCAGGCGUGAAAGCCCCGGGCUCAACCUGGGAACCGCGCUUGAGACUGGCAUGCUCGAGUUCGGGAGAGGAUGGUGGAAUUCCCAGUGUAGAGGUGAAAUUCGUAGAUAUUCGGAAGAACACCAGUGGCGAAGGCGACUAACUGGACGUGUAUUGACGCUGAGGUACGAAAGCGUGGGGAGCAAACAGG